UACGGGGGGGGCAAGCGUUGUUCGGAAUUACUGGGCGUAAAGGGCUCGUAGGUGGCCAACUAAGUCAUACGUGAAAUCCCUCGGCUUAACCGGGGAACUGCGUCUGAUACUGGAUGGCUUGAGGUUGGGAGAGGGAUGCGGAAUUCCAGGUGUAGCGGUGAAAUGCGUAGAUAUCUGGAGGAACACCGGUGGCGAAAGCGGCUUCCUGGUCCAGCACCGACGUUCAGGCACGAAAGCGUGGGGAGCAAACAGGG
rnacentral:rRNA from 1 species